rnacentral:rRNA from 1 species
UACGAAGGGGGCUAGCGUUGUUCGGAAUUACUGGGCGUAAAGCGCGCGCAGGCGGCUAUCCAAGUCAGUGGUGAAAGCCCGGAGCUCAACUCCGGAACUGCCAUUGAAACUGUUUAGCUUGAGGACGAGAGAGGUGAGUGGAAUUCCCAGUGUAGAGGUGAAAUUCGUAGAUAUUAGGAAGAACACCGGUGGCGAAGGCGGCUCACUGGCUCGUAUCUGACGCUCAGGCGCGAUAGCGUGGGGAUCAAACAGG